rnacentral:piRNA from 1 species
GUAGUACUACGUUCAAUUUUCUGAGGAACCA